UUGAUAAGAAUGGGAUUAAACCCACCUAAACAGGGCUACAACCUGUCGCCUACCAAUCGGCCACCU
rnacentral:tRNA from 1 species